CGCUGCUCUGGAUCCGGCGUUGCUGUGAUCGUUUACUGCUGUGUAAUCUGUGACCUUGGGCCAAAGAAGUAACCUGCGGGAGAGUCAGGCAUCUGUGUCCUUCAAGGAUGUGACUGUGGAGUUUACCCAGGAGGAGUGGCGGCAGAUGAGCCCUGCUCGGAGGACCCUGUACAGAGAUGUGAUGCUGGAGAACUACAGCCACCUUGUGUCUUCGGAAUCCUGAUUCAAGAAGGAAAUAAGAGCAACAGCAGGAAAAGGCUUGUACCCUCUACCUGAACUCUGGCUUCUGUUGCACUGUGAGACUAUCCAUGAACUUGACCACAGUAAGAGCUUCGCCUUUGAUUUGUCCAGAUUUAAGGGCUAAUCACCAAGAAGUAAUGCGCAACAUGUAAAGCUUAGCAGCCUGUGUUUGUAGUCAAGCAGACCUGUUCAAGCCUUGGCUUUGCUAUUAUGGGCUCUGUGACCAUGGAAAACCCCUUAACCUCUCUGUGCUCUGCAAAAU
rnacentral:lncRNA from 1 species